UGAACAAUUACUAAACCUUUGUUAAAAUGAGUUUCAAGAUUUCAAAAGAAAAACCAUUAAAAGCCGUCUCGCUAUACUCACUAACACUCACUUGAUAUUACUGCCACACUGUUACUACGUAACGAUCUUGGUGAAUCCAUAUUGUUAUUUUAUUGCUAUAUUUAUUUGACGUGGCUUGUGCGAAUGCACCCUGUUCUUCACUUGACUAUCAUCACGUAGCCGAAUAUGUGUUGCUUUUACUUACACUCGUCCAACAACGAAUCCUACUUCACUUAAACGUACAGUACACGGAUCUCAGUGAGCUUGCUAAUCUACUGAGGGAUUACUUGGGGCUAAAGUUUUUCUCUUUACGAUACCAAGCCCGCGACUUCAUAAGAGGAUAAAUUUGAAAGACRAAGCGGAUAAAAAAAUCAAUUAAAAACGAAAGACAGGUGGAAAUUUUGUUAGAAGACGACAACUG